rnacentral:rRNA from 1 species
GACGAACGCUGGCGGCGUGCCUAAUACAUGCAAGUAGAACGCUGAAGGGAGGAGCUUGCUCUUCUUGAAUGAGUUGCGAACGGGUGAGUAACGCGUAGGUAACCUGCCUUGUAGCGGGGGAUAACUAUUGGAAACGAUAGCUAAUUCCGCAUAACAAUGGGUGACACAUGUCAUUUAUUUGAAAGGGGCAAUUGCUCCGCUACAAGAUGGACCUGCGUUGUAUUAGCUAGUAGGUGAGGUAACGGCUCACCUAGGCGACGAUACAUAGCCGACCUGAGAGGGUGAUCGGCCACACUGGGACUGAGACACGGCCCAGACUCCUACGGGAGGCAGCAGUAGGGAAUCUUCGGCAAUGGGGGCAACCCUGACCGAGCAACGCCGCGUGAGUGAAGAAGGUUUUCGGAUCGUAAAGCUCUGUUGUAAGUCAAGAACGAGUGUGAGAGUGGAAAGUUCACA